rnacentral:rRNA from 1 species
GACGGAGGAUGCAAGUGUUAUCCGGAAUCACUGGGCGUAAAGCGUCUGUAGGUGGUUUAAUAAGUCAACUGUUAAAUCUUGAGGCUCAACCUCAAAAUCGCAGUCGAAACUAUUAGGCUAGAGUAUAGUAGGGGUAAAGGGAAUUUCCAGUGGAGCGGUGAAAUGUGUAGAUAUUGGAAAGACCACCGAUGGCGAAGGCACUCUACUGGGCCAUUACUGACACUGAGAGACGAAAGCUAGGGGAGCAAAUGGG